CACAAAUUAAGUGAGCUCCCCCUAUAUCCUUGCAUUCGUGGGGUGUAAAGGUGUGAUAUGAGAAUUAACGUGAUGCAUAUGAUAAAAUAUUGCACUUCAACAAAGUGGAAAUAAACAUUACCCCAAGUCAUGAUCAACACAUGCAAAUUAGAGAAUUUGAACCACACUAGCAUCACAGAUAAGUCUUACAAAUUUAAAGAAGUUCACUUGGCACACAUCACAUCAUAACACCACACAAGGUCCUCACAUGUCCGCAAGCCAUGACUAGAAACUCAUAAGAUAAAGAUACCCAUCCAUGGUGAGCUCACUCCCCCUUUGGCAUCAAACACCAAAAAGGGGAGGCCCUUCCAUGGGCCAUCACUCGUCGUCCUCAUCGUCGUCGUCAUCGCCAUCAUCCUCUUCUUCAUCCUCGGGAGUAUUGGCCUCGGGGAUAUCUUCUUCUUCUUCUUCGGAGUGCUCCCUCCCACCAAAGUCCUCC
rnacentral:lncRNA from 1 species